AGAAUCAAUACCACUGUUUCCACCUCUCACUCUCCGUCUUUCACCUGCCUCGUCUACACAAUACAUUUCACUCCUCCGUCCUUGAAAUUUGCGAGCGCCCGCUCCCGUUCUGCUCCUGGGUCGGGGUAGUCAGUGGCGCUCGGUGCUGCAGAAGAAAGGAAAACCCACCACAGCACAAAUUGAUGUUUGUUAAAACACCUCAGGAGUGUAUUCAUCCCUGUAUCUGUGUCUUCCUUUGUCUUUCUCUCUUUCUGGUCUAUUAAAGCCCAGUUCUGAAUUUCUUUCACGCACGAUUUGAGCUUCACCGAGGCAACAGUCAAACCUCCCUCCAUCUCAUCGUAUUCUCUCCUUCGCACACUUCCUUCCUCACAUUGGUGCGCACACAGAGCACUAACACACAGCCUCAUUUGACUCAACACAAAGUUGUUGUGAUGUGAAGAGACUGUCGCUAACCCUUCAAUGACUCGGGGUGAAUUAGGCCAGAGUUUCAAAAGGUCACUGGAUGGUUGCUGCGGUGGGAAAUGUGUAAAAAAAACUCAGUGGCACACUGUUAAUGCAGGUAUACCGUGUUGUGUGUUGGCAUGCUAACAUUCGCUAAUUAAGUGCAGCUAAGGAUGAUGAGGAAAUUUCAUCCAUUUUGAUUAAAAUGUGUUACAGCUGCAGUAUUUAUAUAGAUCCAUCCGGUAAUUCUCAUGUCAUUUCUCUGGAAAUGGCAAAUAUGACAUUUAUGAUGGUACGAGAAGGACAGGUGUAGGAAACAUCAUCUGGGAAUCAUGAUUUUCUGUCUAGUGUUUGUGCAUAUCCACCACUCGAUAGUGAGAUAACAUAAGAUAACAUAAGAUAAGAUAAUACUUUAUUGAUCCACAAUGGUGAAGUUCAAAUGAUACAGCAGCACAAGUCAAGAAAAAGAAAUUAAAAAGGACACAGAGAGCAGGAAACAUUAAAUAGGACAGUUAACAAAAAUACUGCAGUAAAAAAUAAGGUGACAGCAGUUGUGGAUAAAGUGACUAUAAACAUGGCUACAUAUAGAUAACUUAGGCUUGCGCCAGUAAUCAACUUAUCAGUGCUUCUCUUUAAAUUCAACGUAACAAAAUCUUCUGGGAACCACGAAUAUGUUUUACAAGAUAACUGAAAACCUUGUGUUUCUUAAACAAAAAGAUGAGAUAUCCUCGACAUGCUGGUGGCAAAGAACAAAAUGUCACGGGAUCAGUUCAGUCAGCUCAGUCCACGCUUCAUUCCUCUGGGGACCAUGAUUGUCUGAGUGUCCACAGAGGCAGCGUGGGUGUGCCGGUUACCUGCUGGUGCGGUUUCUCAGGAAGAACCCAACCUCGGAAAUUCAUUGUAAUCCACAUGUGAAGGACGUUCCGCAUCAACAUCCAGCGUAUCCCAGAGUUUCAGUGUGGGGACAAAAGGAAAUCUUAAUGACUCAGUUCCUGAGUGAUGAUUCAUAUCCAGGGCUGUAGGGAGACACUGGUUGAACCCAGUUGCUGUGUGACUCCUCUGACACUUACUUGACUCAGAUGUUCAGCGUACCGCUGCUGAGGAGGUGAUUAUGGACGCGGACGCUGUCAGCCAUCACGGCUGUCUGCUCGACUUUGUGCUCCGCUGUCAGCUUUUAUUUAGCGCCGUUUUAAAAUCAAAUAGGGUGUUGGUCUUUGGUCGAUAAAGUUUUACAGAGUGAAUCUUCAAUAUUUCAGCAGGAUUUCAAGGAAUAUACAAAAACACGGUUUCUGAAGACUGACAAGUUCUGAUCCUACAGCGAAAGAAGAGUCCAUUAAAAACCUCAACCGUUCUGAGUGCUAUUAAUAUUGCAGCCCUCAAUUUCUGAAUGAGUGAUGAGGGAAUUGUGGCUGACCCAGUUGAGUCUAUGAAUGAGUGAUGAGGGCUCGAUAGGAAGCGUCUCAGAGCGAGGGCGGACAAUCGCAGCGGAGGGAGUCGGCCUUUUAAUCUCCGCUCACAGGAAGGUUCACAGUUUGACACCUCGCAGACUGAAGCCAAAGAGGUGAAAACAUCACCUGGCACAUUCAGUGAGCACGGCCCGAAAGGCAAACACAAACACAAGUAGUGGCACUUUUGUCUGUCAGUGCGGAAACACCUGCCGAUUAAGAAGCCUGCCACUGUUAAUUGUUUUCAAUAUUGAUAAAUGGAGUUUUGGAGAACGCGAGCCACAAGCUCAUGUGAUGGCCUAAUGUUUUACAACAUCUCAUCAAACUUACAGCUGAAGUCGUGAAGCUCUUCUGGCAUUUGAAGGUUUUUAUGUGGCAUCCCUUUUCAUUUUGACAAGAUAGCUGUAUGAUCUGUCAGUUUAUUUUGAUUGAAAUGAUUAUCAGAGCACGGUGAAAGGCGUGCUGUUAUUGAGGUGUUGGUUUCGCUUUGCCUUUUCGUCCCAAAAACUAAAGUAAACUGAAACCACAACAGAGCAAAAGGACAAAUCGGUGCCUGAUAAGUGACUCAUUUAUUAUUCUCACUGAUGAGCUUUCGGUGUUUGUUUAACUCAGACUAUUAACUAUUAACUUACACUCAGGCUGCUUCUGCCUCUGCUGCUCUGAUUUAAACCAUUACGUUUCGUUGUCUCAUCAGCUUGGAAGUGGAAUAGUUAAAGAGUGGAAUGCCUCUUCAAAGCGUCUCAGCGUUACACGCUCUUCUGUAAACUUGGGUCAGUUUGGGGGGAAAAAAUAAUCUGUUGCAGAAGAAGAAGAAGAAGCGAUACCAAUACGACUGUCACAGUGACAGCCUCAGGAGAGCACAGCUGCAGGAGGUGUUGCGCUUCCAGUGAAGGGCCGAUUUCACUUUUUGCCUGUUUUGAAUCCCGUUAAUGUACACACAACAUUAACGGGAUACAAAACAGACAGAAAGUGAAAUCGGCCCUGCUUUCUCGCAGAUAACACACCACGUCUCUGUUGAACUGUAGGAAAGCACCGCUAAUGUUCUGUAACGAGCUCAAGACGAAACCAAUAUUAUCUCUUUGCACAAAUCUAGAGGAAUUCUAUGAGCCCAGACUGCAGCAGCUUCCACAUAUAUUACGCGUUCACACGAGAGAUAAAUAAAUCUUUUUCGGUUUCGUACGUGCAGCGCUCCGUCCGAGCUCAGAUCUCUCCGCUCCGAGGCUCCAUGUGGCUUUGACAUGAUCAGUAUGACUGCAGUCAGUUUCAGACAUUUCUUGGCAACGUGGGGGACUUUUAUUUUAGGAACAACCACAAGAUGUAGCUCAGGGUUUUUUUUUCUUUUUUUUGCAAAUUUGAAACCUUUGUCCUCAUUUGUAAGCAACACGGUGCAUACUUAUAUAGGCACCUGUUAACAUACUGUAUGUAAAUUUCCAUGUAAAUGAAAUUCAGAAAUAGUCAAGGUGCAGCAAGAUACACAAAUAUGAGAUUCAUAUACAGGAAAAUGUAAAAUGGGUGAUUAAAUAUAAGGAAAUCUGAAUCAGAAUCAUUGCGACAGUUAUAUUAUUUUAGUGAGAAAAGUGCAAAGCUGAAUGUCUACCGGGAAAUAAUCAGAUCUCUCUGUUUGUCAGAGCCAACACAUUUCACCCUGCAGCAUCUGUAGAGUUGAUUGACUCAUUAUCACUGGUGACCAGUCCAGGAAGAUCCUGCUCAGAUUUAAAAUAAAGCCUUGAAAAGAAAGAAGCAAAACAAGAGCAAAUUGUUUGUUUUGGUGGGUCAGACUAAUUCUCAACUCUGAGAAAUAACCCAAACAACCUGAGACAUGUUAAUUAGACCUCCCCGCCCCCUCCCCCUUUCACCAUACACUAUUUUAACAUAUAAUAAAUUCUCAUCCAGCUCAGGGAUGAUGAAAACAAACAAACACGUCUUUUUAAAUCGUCAAACUCUUCCUCUCAACACAAAAUCUGUCUGAAUGUGUCUGCAGGUCUGUUGUUGCUCCUGCUCUGUCGCUGCGGGGGCUCCCAGUGGGACUCUGCCUCUGUCUGCGCAGACAAACUCAGUAAACAGCAAAUAUCAAAGAUAAACGCAAACAAAGCACAGCUCUGUCUGCUGCUUCUGCGUAUUUGCUUAAAGUUUAGGAGGACAGAGGACGGGCUGAUGCCAAAUGUGGCUUUGAGGUAAAGCUGAGGCGAAGGAGGGGUGGGGGUGGCGGGUGGGGGGGCUAUCUGUCGCCCACGGUGCCUGCUGUCUGCCUUCAGCACCCGGUCUCUGCUUGGCAGGAGUGAGAUCCAUUUUAUAAAAUAACACACACACACAUUCUGGUGUUUUUUUUUUUUUUUUGAUAGAAAAGAAAAGGAGAGGAAGGCGGUGGAUGUGGCGGUGAGGCUGUCUAAAGGUGGAUGGGGCUGCGGCGGUCUUGUGGGUGGGGGAGUGCUUCCUGUUGAAGCAGUGGAACAGAGCGGGGGAGGAAGGGUUGACACAGACAUACAGCACACCUGUGGCCGGGCGUAGUUGUGGCUGGGUGCAGUGAAGCUUUAGGGCCGGCGCUAGACGGGAGGGACCUGUGUGAAAUACGUUUAUUAUAAAUUGCUCCUCGGUGAAACGUCAAUGAAUCACGAAACAGCCUCGCGCCGGCUCCUUUUACACGUUCACGUCCUCAAAUGUCUUUGUCUGAUUUUUUUUUUUUUUUCACUCUUCCUCUGUUUCCUCUCGCCUCCCUCCCCCCUAUAAAUGGUCUUUCUGUCUCUUCCCGCCUCUCUCUUACUGCCUGUCUGUCUGUCUGUCUUUAGGUGUACAGUGAAACCCUCAGGUGGAUAUUCCUCUUACCCAGGGACUCAAUUAGGAGAGGCACUUCUGUUGCAUGAAAAGCCUCAUUUAGAAAAAAAAGAAAAUGUUAAAAAGAGCACGCUGGAAGCUUCUCAUCGCACCAUUUUGUGCGGCUGUCUGUUAAAAGAUGACUCACAUUUCGAUACGGAGCCUAAUCUUUCUCUCAGAGCCUCGUUGUGUUUUUUUUUUUGGGAUGCGUGUUUCGUCACUAGUCCCGGCCGACGCUUCCCCUCCUUUGUCCUCAGUUGGAGGCACGAACUGGGGUUGACAAACAAAGUGAGUAGUUUGGGGCCAAUUUUUUAAUGAGCUAUGACUUUAGCAUUUCAGGCUAAAUCAGCACUUGUGUGUAUAUCAUGGCCUGCAGGCGCCUCACAUCAGAAAGCUUCCCAACUGACAGAAGUGUGACGGGAAGAAAGGCACGGAAGGAUGAGGUUUACAGAGGAGCAGCAGCAGACAUGUGAUGUUUAACAAACGACUGCACUGUCACAGCAUCCUAAAAGUUGAUCCAAAUCCAAGAUUUCUGCUUAUUUUUUUUUUAUUGGUUUGUUUCUUGUUGAGAUCACAUGUCUAGCUGGAACUUGGUCAAUUCAUCCAUUAGCGAAAUAGGUUGUGAAGGAAAAUGCAACUUGACUCUGUCGGAUGUGAUCGUAUAAUGAAAACGAAUCCUCCUGUAAGUUAGAAGAUGUGUUAAUCUUCAAAACAAGACAGAACAGGAAAGGACAGGGACAGUAGCAAACUGGAUCAGCACAAGAACCUGUCGGCCCAGAAGCUUCAGAGCAGGACUAAAGUAAAACUAGAAAUAGAUUUAAAUCGCCACAGCAUCUCUAAUAUGUUCGAGGACACCUGACAUAGAUUACCUGUGUCACGUGACUCUCGUCUGAAAGCUCAGCGGGAUGUUUUUAAUCCUAAAUUACAUGAAUUGAUUUGUGACUUUCAGACACAGACUCCUGUGUAGAUUUCACUAAUGCUGAUUAAAUUAUCUGUUAAUAAUACGUCGGCAAAAAGACGGAAAUCGCGGAGGGGUUUUUCCUGUUGAACAUGCUUCCGAUUUGUCAUCGCGACGUCUUUGUGUGGAAUGUUUUUAGCCAUUUCAUUAAAUGAGAAAGUGAUUCAUCCA